ACGAAUCAACUUGACCAAUUUUAGCCAUUUCCGGCAAAUAAUAAUAAAAACAUGAAUGAUAAUUCUCUCAUUAUAGUAAUUUACUUUAAUCCCCACAACUGUAGCCAUGUACCUAAACACGCAGAUUGGACACCAGAACUGGGAGAAUAGAAUUACAGAAUAGAAACUUAGGAACCAGAGAGAGAGAGAGAGAGAGAGAGGGAGAGAGAGAGAGAGAUGGAAAUGUUAGAACUAUCUCAAAACAUUGAGGAUAUAGAUCCAAUCAAAUUCAGCACUCUGGUAUUUCUCUAGUCACGUGUAUAUUUGGUAAAUGAAACCUCAAUGAAGGAGGAAGAAAAAGAAUAAUAGAAUCAAGCAAAUAUACAAAACUGUGGUCAUAUAAAC
rnacentral:lncRNA from 1 species